rnacentral:rRNA from 1 species
GACGAACGCUGGCGGCGUGCUUAACACAUGCAAGUCGAACGGAAAGGCCCUGCUUUUGUGGGGUGCUCGAGUGGCGAACGGGUGAGUAACACGUGAGUAACCUGCCCUUGACUUUGGGAUAACUUCAGGAAACUGGGGCUAAUACCGGAUAGGAGCUCCUGCUGCAUGGUGGGGGUUGGAAAGUUUCGGCGGUUGGGGAUGGACUCGCGGCUUAUCAGCUUGUUGGUGGGGUAGUGGCUUACCAAGGCUUUGACGGGUAGCCGGCCUGAGAGGGUGACCGGCCACAUUGGACUGAGAUACGGCCCAGACUCCUACGGGAGGCAGCAGUGGGGAAUAUUGCACAAUGGGCGGAAGCCUGAUGCAGCAACGCCGCGUGCGGGAUGACGGCCUUCGGGUUGUAAACCGCUUUCGCUUGUGACGAAGCGUGAGUGACGGUAAUGGGUAAAGAAGCACCGGCUAACUACGUG